UAGACAAAGCUUUGGCUGGGAUGAUCUAGUUGGGGAUGGUUCUGUUUUGAGCAGGGAACUGGACUAGAUGCGACCAGCCCUAACUAUGAUAAUAUCCAUCUUCGACACUUAAGAUCUUAACAGAUUUUCAAUGCUGGAGGCUGCAAGUGGGAGAGGAAAAACCCUGAUCAGACCCAGUUCACUCUCCCUUUCUGUUCACUCUUUGCCAACGUCUGACAUAGGCCUAUUUGAUGUGCUAAAGGGGGAUCAUGCACUGAGAAACUGUAAGCCUCCCUUAAGAAGGGAGCCCAUUACAGAGAAGUCUACUGAUUCCUUGGGACAAAUCAGUGGCAACGCUUAGCGGGUGCACAUCUUCGAGAGCACUGGAGCACCUGAACAGGCAAAUUUCAUUGUUUGUCCAACAAAUCAUAACAGAAAGGAAGGGAAUGUGGUCAUGCGUUAAUAGCAACGACUCCUCCUGAUGCCUUGGGAAAGGGGCACCGAGCACAGCAUGGGGGCCAGUGCCAAAUGCCCCCCAGGUCAAAAGAGCUUGUGGAUGCCACCUAGUGAAAUUCUGGCCGGACACAUUAACAGAUAAGCACAAGGCAGCCCCACACUCGCCCAAGGUCACUUCCCACCCCCUACAGCGUCCUCCCUGGCCUGGCAGACAGGUCCACAUGAUGCAGAAGGUCAACGUGUGCUUAGCGCCCGCAGAGCAAUGGCAGAGCCAGCCAGGCGGUGCCCCCCAGCCCCCGACGGAACCAGUGGCUGCUGCCUGGGGCAGCUCUGCCUGAAGACGUAAGCAGAUCAGUACAGGUUUGCCAUCGAUCCAACUCUGAUCAUUGGCGCUUGUCUCCUAUGGACGCUGCUCCAGUAAGUAUGCUGACACCUCCGACUCUGCUUUGGUGCUCAGCCUCUCUACACUCUGCUACCAGUCGCCCCUGCUGGCACAAGCCACCUUCUCACUCUGCUCUGGCUGCAGUGUGGAACUCACUUCUGGUUCCCCCCGGUGUUGUCCUGCAGCAGUUUUAAACCAGUGCCUGUGUUCUGCCCUGUGAAUCAGUGCUGGCAUGCAAUUACGAGGUAUGCCCAUGCCAGAGGCAUGUGCUCACUCCAUUCUUCUGCUGCCGGCAGCCCAUCGGCUUGUGAUCCCGGCGUCUGUGCAAUUCUUUAAAAGUGGUCAUGACAGCUGGAUCCUGAUUCUGCACUGGUUACUACAAGGUUUCAAGGUUAAAGUGAGUUUUUAAGAAGGAUUUGAAUGGCACACAGAGCUGGACAAAAUGUUUGAACCAACUUGAAAAUAAGAUGUUGGUAAGAAGACUUGUAGAAUUCUCCACAGAAUCCCUCUAGUCCAGUUUAUUUGUUUACAUCUGGGAAAGCAGCAUCCUCUUUCCUCAGAAAUCCUGUAUUUAACCACUUUGUGGAUAUCUCUGAAAAAGAUUUACCCCUCUCUCCAACCCAAGUAUUCUCACCUACUUUCCCACAGUUGGAAGGAUAUCACUCAUUUCUAAAACUUUAACUGUACCUAACAAUCUCUUAAAACAUCUUGUUUAACAAAAUGUAUUAAUUGAAUCAAGAAAGGUUUGGAAUCUCUGGUUAAGGUAUUUCUUUUUCUCAGAACAUAUACUCCUUUGUUAAAUCCCAGUAGCUGAGCACCUCCCAUUUUUUCUUUUCAGAUUGAAGUAUAAAGCUGAAGAAUGCUUUGUUCCCUCUUCCUUCCAAAGGAAGUUAACUCAAAAUACCAUUCAUAAUAGACAAUAAUGACUGGCAAUGAAAUUGACAGUAUGUAAAAAAAUUGUGCCUCGUCCCAUUUGUUACCACAAAAGGGAAGUUAUACAAGAGUGGGGAAGAAAAAAGGAGCAUCUAUCAGCUCUUAAACUAAGAUUUUAUUCAUGCAAUUGUACAGCUAUAACUAUGUAUGGAUAGCAAUGCUCAUACAAUAGCCCAGGUUACCAACCCUUUACUGGGGAAUCCAGCAGGUUUUUGGUUUCCUGUUUCUCAUGGUGGUGUUUUUUUUCCCAAGCCAUAACUCAAGGCCCUUCUUCUAUAUCCAAGCAGCUAACUGACUAUACAAAGCAGCUAGCUGUAUAAAUAAUCUACUUAGUUAUGUAAAACAUCUAGUCUAGCACACACUUUUGUUUAAAGGACUGUUGGCACCUGAUCCAACUAGCUGGAACUGGGACAGGAAACAUCACCCAUUUUGAGAGCUGAGGGUCUAUUCAGAUUAAAAGAGCUCUUCCAUAGGUAUGCAAAAAUAGCUAAGGGUAGGGUCAUCAGUCUCUUAGUCAUGUAGAAUGGCUAAGGGUUGGCCUAUCAUUCUUUCAGUUGUACAGGGACAGCUAGAGGUGGCCCCUCUGCCCAGGCUGGACCUUACACUAUGCCUCACUCCUACCAAAUAAAAUUCUGUACAGGUUUACUGAAAUCCACUUAAGCUGUACUAUGCAUAUCUACAUGAUGAGAGGUUCAGUAAGACUUUGAUACCACUUUCAUAUGUACCUUUAAAUGAAAAUUUACUGAAACCUGGACAGCUGUUUUCUCUUCUACUUUUUAGGCUCUGAAAUUCUUUAUUACCACUACUGAUCAUCUCUGUAUACAUAGACUGAAAACCAAAGAUUUUAUUUUGUGUUACCUCAGGAAAUCCAUAUUUACAAGCCUUUGUAAAAACAAUCAUACCAAUCCUGAAGUCUGUCUUCACCUUGGCUGCUUAAAUUACAGUGUGGAAGCAAGAACGUGCUUGCCUAUGCCAAUGAUGGGGUGCUCACUCUUUCCAGCAAGGGUAAUACAGAUAUAUUAUUUGAAUUAUGCCUGCCCAUUUAAAAUAUUAUUUAACUUUAUUUCUAUAAUUAACCCAGAUGCAGAGACCUAAUUGGCAUAUCCACUUUCCUCUCCUGUGCAAUUUUAUUUACUCCUUUUCUUCUUUUUUCUCUGCCUUGAAAAUCUGCAUUAACUGAACCACUGAUACUUUUAAUAAAAAUCACCAUGAUUUCACA